CCAAUUGGAGUAGCAACAAGGCCGAACGGCACCUAGCCUCCCUUCGAUUCGCCUUCCUCAAUCACGAAGUACAAGACCGGCGUCGGAACUAGUUUUUGGUUCUGACCGGUGGUCGGAGAUCCACCGAUCAGUAGCUAGAAGACCUCUGGCGUCCGCAUCCCUCCCGGCAUCCUCAAACUGGUUCAACUUAGACUCGUCACUUGGUUGUCCGUUCUAGUGGCCAGCGGUGGUUCUGUGGCUGCUAGACCUGAUCCAAUCCAUCCCCUAUGCCGUCUCCAACCAGGUUGUGGUUAGAGUCCAGCCGGCUAGUCACUAGAUAGCUCCAGUGAUCCCGAUCUCCACCAGCCGUCUCAAAACGGGUCCAAGCUUGGACCGGUCUUUGCUUCUUUUGCAGGUUGAACCGGCGGUCUAGUUGUGCCGAUCCAAUCCCUAGGCGAUCCUGUCCACUCCCUUGGAACUCUGAUCGUGUUCUGGCGAAGUCUAUUUCAUCCGAUUACGUCAAAAUCAAUGAAAUUAAAGCAAAAGGUAACCCCUUCGGACUUGAAUUCGAUGAAGCGAGGCUAGAAUAGCUAACUGAGACUAGGAUUUGCACUUAGGGUUUCAUGAAAUGUUUAGAUAUGUUGUUGAUUGGCUUAGUCGAUGGUUUGCUGAAAUAUAAUGAUUGAUUAAAUGCAAGUUUUUGGUUGAAGAUUGACUUGAAUACAAGUUUGCAAAUUUCGUGUAUCUGUAACAUGCUUAUUGUUUUGGCUUAAAUGAGGCCUUGGAUGGCCUUAUUUUGACUCGAGGCCUUCUACACAUAAAAAAA